GAAUAUGUUCAUGUAAGCUGUAACAGUCAGUAUUUUAAAGUUUUUUUGGGCACGAGGAGUGGUCCAAAUAGAAACAAUGUUUUUACCUAUAAAUCAGGUUGUUUGUUCUUCGAUCAAUGGCAUCAGUUUAUUUUCAUGGUGAACGUUUUGAAGGAAGUAUGUAACCUUACUAUUGAUGGGAGACAGCUUGGGCAAGAUAGUUCUUGGAAAAGGGUGUUCAAGGAUAUCAGUUGGAGAGGAAUUACGACAAUUGGGUGCCAUUUUAGAAGUCAUCAAAGUCUAUGCAGGCAGUGUUAUUUUCGAGGAGAUAUCGCCCAAAUAGUUAUCUAUCGAACCAAACUAAGUGAUGAAGAAUUGAGGAGUAUUCAUGACGACUUUCGUACGCUUCGAGAAGUAAACCGUAUCAAUAUAACCUGGACUUGUUGUUCAUUCUUUGGUGCGCGUUUG